rnacentral:rRNA from 1 species
GCAACGCGAAGAACCUUACCAACUCUUGACAUCCCAUUGACCGCUUGAGAGAUCAAGUUUUCCCUUCGGGGACAAUGGUGACAGGUGGUGCAUGGUUGUCGUCAGCUCGUGUCGUGAGACGUUGGGUUAAGUCCCGCAACGAGCGCAACCCCUAUCCUUAGUUGCCAGCAUUGAGUUGGGCACUCUAGGGAGACUGCCGGUGACAAACCGGAGGAAGGUGGGGAUGACGUCAAAUCAUCAUGCCCCUUAUGAGUUGGGCUACACACGUGCUACAAUGGACGGUACAAAGGGCAGCGAGACCGCGAGGUGGAGCCAAUCCCAUAAAGCCGUUCCCAGUUCGGAUUGCAGGCUGCAACUCGCCUGCAUGAAGUCGGAAUCGCUAGUAAUCGCAGGUCAGCAUACUGCGGUGAAUACGUUCCCGGGUCUUGUACACACCGCCCGUCACACCACGAGAGUUUGCAACACCCGAAGCCGGUGAGUAACCGCAAGGAGCCAGCCGUCGAAGU